rnacentral:rRNA from 1 species
GAUGAACGCUGGCGGUAUGCUUAGCACAUGCAAGUCGAACGGUCACUUCGGUGAUAGUGGCGGACGGGUGAGUAACGCGUGAGAAUCUGUCCUCAGGUCGGGGACAACAGUUAGAAAUGACUGCUAAUACCGGAUGUGCCUUUGGGUGAAAGAUUUAUUGCCUGAAAAAGAGCUCGCGUCAGAUUAGCUAGUAGGUGGUGUAAGAGACUACCUAGGCUCCGAUCUGUAGCUGGUCUGAGAGGACGAUCAGCCACACUGGAACUGAGACACGGUCCAGACUCCUACGGGAGGCAGCAGUGGGGAAUUUUCCGCAAUGGGCGAAAGCCUGGCGGAGCAAUACCGCGUGAGGGACGAAGGCUUUUGGGUCGUAAACCUCUUUUCUCAAGGAAGAUGAUGACGGUACUUGAGGAAUAAGCAUCGGCUAACUCUGUG